rnacentral:rRNA from 1 species
UACGGAGGAUGCGAGCGUUAUCCGGAUUUAUUGGGUUUAAAGGGUGCGUAGGCGGACGCUUAAGUCAGCGGUAAAAUUGCGGGGCUCAACCUCGUCGAGCCGUUGAUACUGGGUGCCUUGAGUGGGCGAGAAGUACGCGGAAUGCGUGGUGUAGCGGUGAAAUGCAUAGAUAUCACGCAGAACUCCGAUUGCGAAGGCAGCGUACCGGCGCCCAACUGACGCUGAAGCACGAAGGCGUGGGUAUCGAACAGG